rfam:Heligmosomoides polygyrus genome assembly, scaffold: HPBE_scaffold0004874
GCGCCGGUGGUUUAAGGCGAACAUCGCUGCCCGGAAAGCAGAAGAUUCGGGUUCGAGUCCCGCCUGGCGCA